rnacentral:tRNA from 1 species
GCGAGGUAGCUCAGUGGCCAGAGCAGGGGACUCAUAAGCCCUUUGUCGAGGGUUCGACUCCCUCCCUCGCC